AUUGAACGCUGGCGGCAUGCCUAACACAUGCAAGUCGAACGAGUGGCGGACGGGUGAGUAAUGUCUUGGAAACUGCCCGAUGGAGGGGGAUAACUACUGGAAACGGUAGCUAAUACCGCAUACCAUCGGAUCUGCCCAGUUGGGAUUAGCUAGUAGGUGGGGUAACGGCGCACCUAGGCUACGAUCCCUAGCUGGUCUGAGAGGAUGACCAGCCACACUGGAACUGAGACACGGUCCAGACUCCUACGGGAGGCAUCAGUGGGGAAUAUUUGACAAUGGGCGCAAGCCUGAUGCAGCAAUGCCGCGUGUAUGAAGAAGGCCUUCGGGUUGUAAAGUACUUUCAGCGGGGAGGCGUUACUCGCAGAAGAAGCCCCGGCUAACUCCGUGCCAGCAGCCGCGGUAAUUC
rnacentral:rRNA from 1 species